rnacentral:rRNA from 1 species
UGGCGAAGGCGGCCUUCUGGACAGAUACUGACGCUGAGAUGCGAAAGCGUGGGGAGCAAACAGGAUUAGAUACCCUGGUAGUCCACGCUGUAAACGAUGUCGAUUUGGAGUUUGUUGCCCUGAGUGAUGGGCUCCGAAGCUAACGCGAUAAAUCGACCGCCUGGGGAGUACGGCCGCAAGGUUAAAACUCAAAUGAAUUGACGGGGGCCCGCACAAGCGGUGGAGCAUGUGGUUUAAUUCGAUGCAACGCGAAGAACCUUACCUGGUCUUGACAUCCACAGAAUCUUGCAGAGAUGCGAGAGUGCCUUCGGGAACUGUGAGACAGGUGCUGCAUGGCUGUCGUCAGCUCGUGUUGUGAAAUGUUGGGUUAAGUCCCGCAACGAGCGCAACCCUUAUCCUUUGUUGCCAGCGGUUUGGCCGGGAACUCAAAGGAGACUGCCGUUGAUAAAGCGGAGGAAGGUGGGGACGACGUCAAGUCAUCAUGGCCCUUACGACCAGGGCUACACACGUGCUACAAUGGCGUAUACAAAGGGAGGCGACCUCGCGAGAGCAAGCGGACCUCACAAAGUACGUCUAAGUCCGGAUUGGAGUCUGCAACUCGACUCCAUGAAGUCGGAAUCGCUAGUAAUCGUGAAUCAGAAUGUCACGGUGAAUACGUUCCCGGGCCUUGUACACACCGCCCGUCACACCAUGGGAGUGGGUUGCACCAGAAGUAGAUAG